AUCCAUCAUUUUGACGUAUGCGCCCUGGGUCAAUACGCAGCCAACCGAUUGGCCGACGUUCAUCACGUGCUAUGCUAAUUUCCAGUGCUGGGCGGAGCGACGGUACAGUUAAACGACAACCCCAAAGAAAAAUUAUUUCCAUCCAAUUCACCCAGAAAUUAAUGAUCAUGAGUUCGUUUUUGAUGAACUCUCCGUCUUGUGUGGAUCCUAAGUUUCCACCAAGUGAGGAGUAUUCGCAAGGUAACUAUAUACCGACACACGGUGGUGACUAUUACGCUCCCCAACCGCAUCCUUACGUCUAUGCGGUCAACCCACCGCCGCCUCAUCCCGCUGUUACGUACGGACCUGUGGAAAACGGUGGAGGUCCGUGUUAUCCCGAUCACGGCGGCUCUCCCCUCUACUACCAGCAUUCCUGCAGCAUGACACCGAGUAUCGGAAGCCGGGUCGCAAGACCGACACCGGACCACGUUACGUCCAGCCACAGUCCCGUUACGAUCCUUCCUCCCGGUCCAACUCGCAGAUCGCCGGUAUCUUCGCCUCCACCGGGCGUCGUUGGGCUCAGCCGGGUCCAGCAAUCGCAGCAGCCACAGCAGAAUCAAGCCCAACAACCACCUCAACUUAGUCAACAGCCGUCACAACUCCAUCAAAGUGCAGCGAGUCAGCCCGAUACGGGAAAUCCCGACUGUGCCGUUUCUGGCGGUGGCCAGCCCGUCAUCUAUCCCUGGAUGAAGAAAGCCCACGUGGGUACAGCUGCAAAUGGAAACUUUACUGGAAUGGAACCUAAAAGACAGAGGACAGCGUACACUAGACAUCAAAUUUUAGAACUUGAAAAGGAAUUCCACUUCAACCGUUACCUGACGCGGAGGAGAAGAAUCGAAAUAGCUCAUUCCCUGUGUCUCAGUGAAAGGCAGAUAAAAAUAUGGUUUCAAAAUAGGAGAAUGAAAUGGAAAAAAGACAACAAAUUACCGAACACGAAAAAUGUUAAAAAGAAUCCAAAUAGAAAUCAGAAUUUAGCUGCUAUCAAUAAUCGUAAUCAACAGAAUCAACAGCGACAUCAAGCACCACCACAGGCCCAACAGCAACCUCCAUCUACAUUGCCGCCACCUCAUCAUCCACCAACACAUGAUCCAAAAGACGACUAUGGUCUUACAGAGCUAUGAUGUGUAUUACUCAACAUUCCAACUCAGUUACAAGUUCUCAGAAUGCGAAGUAUAUGGGACAUGGGAGGGGGCAUGAGUACCCUUCUCAACUCUCCCACAAAACUCCCGCCCCCUGCAAUAUAUCUUCGCAGUGUACUGUACUCAGGAGCAAAGUGCAGAAGCUGAAUAGUUUGUUGCUGUGCAUGUGACGCCGUCAGGAGAUUGUAGUCGCUAGAAUAUAACGCUAAGGGAUUUUACACGAUGAAUACCAGGCGGAACCACAGGACACAGUCGUAGCAAAGGCUCAGACUUUGCUGACUUAACUUUGGCUAAAAGAUCUAAAUUUCGAAAAUAAUAUUGAUUUCAAAUUGUUCUUUUGUAAAAAAUCUACGAGAAAAUUGUUUAUUUAAAAGAGGUUUGUAAUGUGGAGAAAAUGCAAAGCGGUCAGCAUAGAAGAACCUAAGAUUCUACCCUUGUCGUCCAAUAACUGCUCCUGGAGUAUAUGUGCUGUUUUCUCCGAUGUUUUCGAGUGCUUCAAGUGAUGCAGUUGAGAAUCCUCUGAGAAAAUAAAGACCAAUUCAUACAUUUAAAUGAAUUUUUUCCAGUUUUUGUCUACUAAAAACAACCAAUAGUUCAUCUUAUCUACGAUAAAUAAAGGAAGAAUGCAUUUAAAAAAAAGAAAAAAAAAAGCCAACCUCUGGAAGAAUCAACCAAGCAUGACUUACACGAUCCACCAGUCCUCCUUCUGGGAACUUGAGUUAUCUUACCCCUAGAGAUUUAGAGAGAAAGAAGAAUAGGGCCAAUGACAUGUCGACUGCUGUAGUUCUUUCUGCCAUAUCCCCAAAGGUUUUAUAACGAGUACAAAUAUGUUCAAGUUCUAGAAAUACAAUUUUCAAAGAUCAGCCAAUCAAUUUGAAAUAACCUAAGUUAUAUAUUCAGACGGAAC
rnacentral:misc_RNA from 1 species